rnacentral:lncRNA from 1 species
UAUGAUUGGAUAUAUAUAUAUAUAUAUAUAUAUAGUUGAGUUGGAAUACUUUCAAAAGGACCAAAGAUGUGGUACUUUUAAAUUUUUAGCCCUUAGUUGAAGAAAUGUAGAGUUGGGACGAUGGUGAUAGGUGAUGGUAGGUGGAAUAGUGUUUGAUCCAAAGACUAUUAAUUAAUAAUCAAAGAGUAGAUCCAAGGGCUAAAAAUUUAGAAGCACCAAAGGGGUAAUACUUCUAAAAAUAUUCUAGCUCAAUUAUAAAUGAGUCCGGCUGCUAUGCUAUCGAUAGCACCAAACACUUGGUGCUAUCAAGUUUUUUGCUGUUAGAUUAACCCCUUUGAUUAUUUUUAUCCGUUAGAUUAUACUAUUCAAUCAACUAUUCACUCAACCCUAGGGGGCCCACAUCAUCCUAACUGUACAUUUCUUAAUCCGAAGGCUAAAAACUUAAUAGCACCAAUAACUUGGUACUAUUGAUAGUAUUCCAGUCUAGUUCUAUAUAUAUAUAUAUAUAUAUAUAUAUAUAUAGAGAGAGAGAGAGAGAGAGAGAGAGAGAGAGAGAGAGAGAGUUGGGCUUNNNNNNNNNNAGUUAUCUAACAUUAUCUAAAUAGUAUAAAGAAUUUUCUAUCAAAAAUUCAAGCAAUUUGGAUUGCUCUACACCGUUAAACAAGCAAACGGCUCAUACAGGCCGUCAAAAAUUGUCGAUUUUACGACACUUUGAUCACCAUGUAAACCAUUAUCAAAAUUUAUGAAAUUUAGUUUCUAGAUAUUUCAAAUACUCUAGAUCAACUUCAACGACUCCGAUCAUCGAUUCGGAAUCUCGAUCAUCAAGAACCACUUGAUAGGACAAGUGCUCCUAUCCUUUUAGAAGGAUAGUAGCCGGACCCUAUAUAUAUAUAUAUAUAUAUAGUAAUGUAAUUAUAUGAACCUUAUUUUAUAGGAUGUAGUGGAAAAAUUGAUAGUUAUAAGUAAUUUGUUUGGUUUCAUACAAUUAAGAAUGUAGUUUUAAAAUUUUAUUUAUAUUAUAAUAUAUGAUGAAGAGAUUAAAAUCAAUAUAAGUAAUUUAUAUAUAUUUUUUUCUUAUUUAAAAAGUUAUUAGAUAGGUAAAUUUACUUUUUGUUUGAGGGUAUUUUUUUCAACUGUUGUAAUUAGAACUAAGAUCCAUUUGAACGUAAUUCUAUUACUAUAAUUGGGCCUCCUUAUAUAUUUCUGACUACAGCAAUUAAAUACAAAUGUAUCAAAUCACACAUCAAAUUUGAAUCUACAUAUAUCAGUGUUGAUGCAACUAUAUAUGAUCAAAUAGUCCCUAAAGGAUGUUUGAUUCUAUAGAAAAUGAGGGAAAAAAAUUAUUUUAUGUAAUGAAAAAUUAUAAAAUGAGAUUUUUCAUAAUUUUUUUAGAAAAACUAGAAAAACAAAAAGAAGCCUCCUUCGUGAAAUCUAAAAAAACAAAUAAGUAAAAAAUAUUUUGAGAAAAAUAUUUUUUGAAAUAUUUUUUAUGAACCAAAUACCGCUUAAUGCAGUCGACGAGUCAUCACAAGGUGGGCCCGCUGAACAGUAAAUUUCACAUAAAAAUCUGACCAUUUCCCUCUUCCUUUCUAUCAAUGCUUUUGGUGUGCCCCAGGCGCACCACAAACUGUACCCCAAAUUAAAAUUUCUAGAAUAUAUAUAUAUAUAUAUAUAUAAAAGUACGUAUAUUCAAAUUUGGGUCUGCCGACAGACCCAUUUUUCGGCGGAAAAAUUAGCGUCCAUUUUUCUCUUUCCGUACGAAAAGUUUUAAAUAUAAGAAUAAAAAUAGAAAUAGAACAGCAAUGAAUACGUAAGUUAUCUAUAACAGAUUACUGAUGUGAAAAUUCAAAAAUAUAAAUUUUUCUAUUUAAUUUUCAAAGUAAGUUUUCUAUAACAGAUUACGGGUGUGAAAAUCCUAUAAAAGAUAUUUUUUUAUUUUAUUUUAAAAUAUCUUUUUUAGAUAUUAUCUAUUUAAUUUCAAAAUAUAUAUUUUUUUAAGAUAACGGAUUUUAUUUUUCUAUUUAAUUUCAAAAAUUUAUUUCCUAACAGAUUUUAUUUUUCUAUUUAAUUUCAAAAGUAAUUU